CAAAGAUUAAGGCCAUGCAUGUCUAAGUAUAAGCAAUUAUACCGUGAAACUGCGAAUGGCUCAUUAAAUCAGUUAUCGUUUAUUUGAUAGUACCUUACUACUUGGAUAACCGUGGUAAUUCUAGAGCUAAUACAUGCUAAAAGCCCGACUUCGGGAGGGGCGUAUUUAUUAGAUAAAAAACCAAUGCCCUUCGGGGCUCCUUGGUGAUUCAUAAUAACUUCUCAGAUCGCAUGGCCUUGCGCCGGCGACGGUUCAUUCAAAUUUCUGCCCUAUCAACUUUCGAUGGUAAGGUAUUGGCUUACCAUGGUUUCAACGGGUAACGGGGAAUUAGGGUUCGAUUCCGGAGAGGGAGCCUGAGAAACGGCUACCACAUCCAAGGAAGGCAGCAGGCGCGCAAAUUACCCAAUCCCGACACGGGGAGGUAGUGACAAUAAAUACUGAUACAGGGCUCUUUAGGGUCUUGUAAUUGGAAUGAGUACAAUUUAAACCUCUUAACGAGGAACAAUUGGAGGGCAAGUCUGGUGCCAGCAGCCGCGGUAAUUCCAGCUCCAAUAGCGUAUAUUAAAGUUGUUGCAGUUAAAAAGCUCGUAGUUGAACCUUUGGCCUGGCUGGCGGGUCCGCCUCACCGCGUGCACUCGUCCGGCCGGGCCUUUUCUUCUGGAGAACCGCAUGCCCUUCACUGGGUGUGUUGGGGACCAGGACUUUUACUUUGAAAAAAUUAGAGUGUUCAAAGCAGGCCUUUGCUCGAAUACGUUAGCAUGGAAUAAUAGAAUAGGACGUGCGGUCCUAUUUUGUUGGUUUCUAGGACCGCCGUAAUGAUUAAUAGGGACAGUCGGGGGCAUCAGUAUUCAAUUGUCAGAGGUGAAAUUCUUGGAUUUAUUGAAGACUAACUACUGCGAAAGCAUUUGCCAAGGAUGUUUUCAUUAAUCAGUGAACGAAAGUUAGGGGAUCGAAGACGAUCAGAUACCGUCGUAGUCUUAACCAUAAACUAUGCCGACUAGGGAUCGGGCGGUGUUACUAUUUUGACUCGCUCGGCACCUUACGAGAAAUCAAAGU
rnacentral:rRNA from 2 species